GUGGGGAAUAUUGGGCAAUGGGCGAAAGCCUGACCCAGCAACGCCGCGUGAAGGAAGAAGGCCCUCGGGUUGUAAACUUCUUUGACCAGGGACGAAUAAUGACGGUACCUGGAAAACAAGCCACGGCUAACUACGUGCCAGCAGCCGCGGUAAUACGUAGGUGGCAAGCGUUGUCCGGAUUUACUGGGUGUAAAGGGCGUGCAGGCGGGAAUGCAAGUCAGGCGUGAAAACUAUGGGCUCAACCCAUAGCCUGCGUUUGAAACUGCAUUUCUUGAGUGAUGGAGAGGCAGGCGGAAUUCCUCGUGUAGCGGUGAAAUGCAUAGAUAUGAGGAGGAACACCAGUGGCGAAGGCGGCCUGCUGGACAUUAACUGACGCUGAGGCGCGAAAGCGUGGGGAGCAAACAGGAUUAGAUACCCGUGUAGUCC
rnacentral:rRNA from 1 species